rnacentral:rRNA from 1 species
UGGGGGAUAUUGCACAAUGGAGGAAACUCUGAUGCAGCGACGCCGCGUGAGUGAAGAAGUAUUUCGGUAUGUAAAGCUCUAUCAGCAGGGAAGAUAAUGACAGUACCUGACUAAGAAGCCCCGGCUAACUCCGUGCCAGCAGCCGCGGUAAUACGGAGGAUGCGAGCGUUAUCCGGAUUUAUUGGGUUUAAAGGGUGCGCAGGCGGCGCGCCAAGUCAGCGGUCAAAGUUCCGGGCUCAACCCGGUGUCGCCGUUGAAACUGGCGUGCUCGAGUGCGUGCGAGGAAGGCGGAAUGCGUUGUGUAGCGGUGAAAUGCAUAGAUAUGACGCAGAACUCCGAUUGCGAAGGCAGCUUUCCAGCGCGCUACUGACGCUGAGGCACGAAAGCGUGGGGAUCGAACAGGAUUAGAUA